AAUUCGAUUGAGUUUGAUCAUGGCUCAGAAUCAACGCUGGCGGCGUGCCUCAGACAUGCAAGUCGAACGCGAAAGUCCCCUUCGGGGGACAAGUAGAGUGGCGCACGGGUGAGUAACACGUAGGUAAUCUACCUUCGGAUGGGGAAUAACAAUCGGAAACGAUUGCUAAUACCGCAUAAUGCAGCGGCACCUAAUGGUGACAGUUGUUAAAGCGGGGGAUCGAAAGACCUCGCGUCUGAAGAGGAGCCUGCGGCGGAUUAGCUAGUUGGUAAGGUAAUGGCUUACCAAGGCAACGAUCCGUAACCGGCCUGAGAGGGCGGUCGGUCACACUGACACUGACAUACGGGUCAGACUCCUACGGGAGGCAGCAGUCGGGAAUUUUGGGCAAUGGGCGAAAGCCUGACCCAGCAACGCCGCGUGAAGGAUGAAAUCCCUCGGGAUGUAAACUUCGCAAGAACGGGAAGAAUAAGUAGGGGACAAUACCCCCUAUGAUGACGGUACCGUUUGUAAGCUCCGGCUAACUCCGUGCCAGCAGCCGCGGUAAUACGGGGGGAGCAAGCGUUGUUCGGAUUUACUGGGCGUAAAGGGCGCGUAGGCGGCCAGCACAAGUCAGUUGUGAAAUCUCCGAGCUUAACUCGGAAAGGUCAACUGAUACUG
rnacentral:rRNA from 1 species